GAGGGCGUGGAGGGAGAGGCAGGCAGAGACUCAGGGCUCUGGCAAGCUGGCGGAGGUCCCCUUGGGGGGGGUCACGCCUCCCGGAGCUCAGGGACCCCUGAGCUUGAACACAUUCCCGGUGCGGCCCUCUGCACAGGGCCCGGCUGUCUCCCAGUUCAUCCGCCGAGGCAGCAGCAGUGGACUCAUCCAUCGUGGAGGAAGCCCCCCGGACCCCAGAGACCCUGGGAACACUGGCCCCAGCCUGCUCCUAGGAGGAGCCUCUGAGCCAAUCCUUGCCCCCCACCCACAGCCCCCUCCCUCCUUUGUCUUCGGCAGACAAUCACCUGAUGGCGGCUUCUCCAGGUCAGUGCUUGGCUCUGAAGGGGUUGCAAGAAUGACACACAACACGGUUCCUGCCUUCAAAAUGCCUCCCAUCUGCUUAGAAAGAUAGAGCGUCCACACAGGCAGAAUGAUCUAUGGGGCAUUCUAGAAAGACAACUACACACAGAAGGUGCCUUGCACUCGGAAUCCCACGGGCACCUGAAGCCCUGCACACAGUUACUCCAUGCGUGGCCUCCACGCUGGGAACCCGCCUAGGUUACUGGGAAGAAACUGUCCCAGCCCCACACCCUCAGCUCCCCCACAACCUACGUCAGAAUUCGUGAGGGUAGAUCCCUGCUGAAUACCUGAUAUACCCACUCGAGGUGGG
rnacentral:lncRNA from 1 species